UACGAAGGGUGCAAGCGUUACUCGGAAUUACUGGGCGUAAAGCGUGCGUAGGUGGUGAGUUAAGUCUGUCGUGAAAGCCCCGGGCUCAACCUGGGAAUGGCGAUGGAUACUGGCUCGCUAGAGUGCGGUAGAGGAGAGUGGAAUUCCCGGUGUAGCAGUGAAAUGCGUAGAGAUCGGGAGGAACACCAGUGGCGAAGGCGGCGACCUGGGCAGAUACUGACGCUGAGGUGCGAAAGCGUGGGGAGCAAACAGG
rnacentral:rRNA from 1 species